rnacentral:rRNA from 1 species
UACGAAGGGGGCUAGCGUUGCUCGGAAUCACUGGGCGUAAAGCGCACGUAGGCGGCUUAUUAAGUCAGGGGUGAAAUCCUGGAGCUCAACUCCAGAACUGCCUUUGAUACUGGGGAGCUCGAGUCCGGAAGAGGUGAGUGGAACUCCGAGUGUAGAGGUGAAAUUCGUAGAUAUUCGGAAGAACACCAGUGGCGAAGGCGGCUCACUGGUCCGGUACUGACGCUGAGGUGCGAAAGCGUGGGGAGCAAACAGG